rnacentral:rRNA from 1 species
AGCUCAGAUUUGAAAUCGUGUUUCGGCACGAGUUGUAGAGUGUAGGCGGGAGUCUCUGUGGAGCGCGGUGUCCAAGUCCCUUGGAACAGGGUGCCUGAGAGGGUGAGAGCCCCGUAGGGUGCUGCGCGAAGCUUUUGAGGCCCUGCUGACGAGUCGAGUUGUUUGGGAAUGCAGCUCCAAGCGGGUGGUAAAUUCCAUCUAAGGCUAAAUAUUGGCGAGAGACCGAUAGCGAACAAGUACUGUGAAGGAAAGAUGAAAAGCACUUUGAAAAGAGAGUGAAACAGCACGUGAAAUUGUUGAAAGGGAAGGGUAUUGGGCUCGACAUGGGGGGUGCGCACCGCUGUCUCUUGUAGGCGGCGCUCUGGGCGCCCUCUGGGCCAGCAUCGGUUCCUGCUGCGGGAGAAGGGGCUCCGGAAAGUGGCUCUUCGGAGUGUUAUAGCCGGGGCCAGAUGCCGCGUGUGGGGACCGAGGACUGCGGCUUCUGUCUCGGAUGCUGGCAUAACGGCGCAAUACCGCCCGUCUUGAA